UAAUGCCGGUUAGGUUUCUGCUUUUCUCCCAGACGUGUAAAAUAAAACUGUUCUUGCUUAGUUUCACUUUCGGCUUUCCCACUUCUCUUACCGGGUGGCAAAUGUUACCAGCAAAGGGCACAUCUGGAACAGCGUAUUGGCUCCCAUGGACCACUUCAUGUUCAUCCCUGAACAUAGACUCCUGCUUUUUCAGGGAGCUGCUCUAGCCUUUACAUCCCCCAACGUGUUUUUUUUUUUCGUUUUGUUUUUUUUUUUUCCAAAUCACCAGCUUCUCCUUUAAGUGGUAAGCUAAUGAUAUUUAACCCAGCGUGAAGUUUGCACGCCCGCAUAUAAGUAAAUUACACGUUUCAAUUCUGAACGUAAGUUGACUAUUCUCACACAGGUGAGUGACUCCACUGGUGUUUUAUUAAGGCCACUCCACGUGCGUGUAUGUCUGCAGCUCCACAGAGAGGUGUUCACAGGACCACAGCCUGUACAAACAGCCUUAUUCUUUCAUCUUAUUAUUCAAGGUCCUUAAAAGCCUGAAAAGUUUUUACUUCUGUUAAAGUAACAUCAAAGAGGAAAGUUGUUACAAAGCAGAUACUGACUUUCCUUAACUGCCUGAAUAUUUGUUUGCAUUUCGUGGUGUGUUUAUGAGGAUCUAAAUGGGAAAAGCACUGCUGUAGUGCCUACAGUAAGGCACUGGUUGGUAUAAAGACAAAAUACACUUUUACUGCAGUUCGUUCUUGAAUCUUUGGAAGAAUGGCUACCUUACAAUACGAUGACUUUUUUUUUUCCUUUUUACCUUGCUGCUCACUAGAUAACCAGAACAGUAAGUCUACCAGCCUGUGGCUACGGAUACAGUUACUAUAGUAACAUUUAUAAACACUAAUUUCACUACACAUGCAGAACUACUGCCUGCUACUGCAGAGGAGCAGCUUGGAAAGAAAUCACUCUUCAACUACAAAUAGGUCUAGAGGUGGGAGUGUUCCCAAGUCCUGAAGACAGGCUCUGCCCCUGGCAUGCUCCUGUGACUCACCAGGUUCAUCUUUAUCUCUUCCCACACCUUUCCUAACAAGACUUUCUUGAAGCUGCAUCAUUGCUUCUGGGGAUACAG